UACCUUGUAUCUACCGGCUCUCCACCAUCAAAGACAGCCCUGACCACUCACAAAAAGGAUUAAUCUUGCCUUCAGUCAUUGAGCCCGUGCAGACAUGUUCCAGUUAACACAAUGGGCUUCUGCAGAUAUGAAUUAGCACAGCCUUUGUGAAUCACCGUAUACUGUGAAGACACACUUGAGGAGCUGGCCACUUCAACCAAACUAUUGCUGAUCAUCAAUAGAGAGAACUUCCCCAAAAGUCUCUAAUUCGGAGGAAGCUUGACUGAGUCAUAUGCUUGUGGGGCAUUUUCAUCUUUGGCUCUGAAGAAUCCAGAGAAACUCCAGAAAAGCUGCCUUGGCUGUGAGUGAGAGUCCAGCAGAGUCCAGCAGGAGGCCUCCAUGAGAGACAUCUCGGUGAUGUAUGACAGAAUUUCUGCUGAUGUCAGCCUAUCUCCCGGGUCCUCCAGGACAGAAACUUCUAGUUCUUGGUUAAGCCAUUCCACCAAUUUGACUUUAUAAACCAUCUCUCUAUUCUUUUGCCAGAAAG
rnacentral:lncRNA from 1 species